rnacentral:rRNA from 1 species
AGUGGCGCACGGGUGCGUAACGCGUAUGCAACCUACCUUAUACAGGGGGAUAGCCCGGGGAAACCCGGAUUAAUACCCCGUGGCAUUGAUUUCUCGCAUGGGAUAUUGAUUAAAGCCUUCGGGCGGUAUAAGACGGGCAUGCGUAGGAUUAGCUAGUUGGUAAGGUAACGGCUUACCAAGGCGACGAUCCUUAGGGGUUCUGAGAGGAAGGUCCCCCACACUGGCACUGAGAUACGGGCCAGACUCCUACGGGAGGCAGCAGUAGGGAAUAUUGGGCAAUGGUCGCAAGACUGACCCAGCCAUGCCGCGUGCAGGAAGACGGCGUUAUGCGUUGUAAACUGCUUUUAUACGGGAAGAAAACGCCACUGCGGUGGAACUUGCCGGUACCGUAUGAAUAAGCACCGGCUAACUCCGUGCCAGCAGCCGCGGUAAUACGGAGGGUGCAAGCGUUGUCCGGAUUUAUUGGGUUUAAAGGGUGCGUAGGCGGCCGAUUAAGUCAGCGGUGAAAGUACAGGGCUCAACCCUGUAACUGCCAUUGAUACUGGUCGGCUUGAGUGUUGAUGGGGUACAUGGAAUUUAUGGUGUAGCGGUGAAAUGCAUAGAUACCAUAAGGAACACCGAUAGCGAAGGCAUUGUACUUAUCAACAACUGACGCUGAGGCACGAAAGCGUGGGUAGCGAACAGGAUUAGA